GACGAACGCUGGCGGCGUGCUUAACACAUGCAAGUCGAACGAUGAAGCCGGAGCUUGCUCCGGUGGAUUAGUGGCGAACGGGUGAGUAACACGUGAGCAAUCUGCCCUUGACUCUGGGAUAACUGCGGGAAACUGUAGCUAAUACCGGAUACGACACCUUGGGGCAUCCCAGGGUGUGGAAAGAAUUUCGGUCAAGGAUGAGCUCACGGCCUAUCAGCUAGUUGGUGAGGUAAUGGCUCACCAAGGCGACGACGGGUAGCCGGCCUGAGAGGGUGACCGGCCACACUGGAACUGAGACACGGUCCAGACUCCUACGGGAGGCAGCAGUGGGGAAUAUUGCGCAAUGGGCGAAAGCCUGAUGCAGCAACGCCGCGUGAGGGAUGAAGGCCUUCGGGUUGUAAACCUCUUUUAGCAGGGAAGAAGCGAAAGUGACGGUACCUGCAGAAAAAGCACCGGCUAACUACGUGCCAGCCGCCGCCGUA
rnacentral:rRNA from 1 species